AUUGAACGCUGGCGGCAUGCCUUACACAUGCAAGUCGAACGGCAGCGGGGGAGAAGCUUGCUUUUCCUGCCUGCGAGUGGCGAACGGGUGAGUAAUACAUCGGAACGUGCCUUGUAGUGAGGGAUAAUUAGUCGUAAGAUUAGCUAAUACCGCAUCCGACCUGAGGGUGUGAUAGGGGGACCGCAAGGCCUGUUGCUAUAGGAGCGGCCGAUGUCUGAUUAGCUAGUUGGUGGGGUAAAGGCCUACCAAGGCGACGAUCAGUAGCUGGACUGAGAGGACGAUCAGCCACACUGGGACUGAGACACGGCCCAGACUCCUACGGGAGGCAGCAGUGGGGAAUUUUGGACAAUGGGCGAAAGCCUGAUCCAGCAAUGCCGCGUGUGUGAAGAAGGCCUUCGGGUUGUAAAGCACUUUUGUCCGGAAAGAAAUGGCUCUGGUUAAUACCUGGGGUCGAUGACGGUACCGGAAGAAUAAGGACCGGCUAACUACGUGCCAGCCGCCGCAGUAA
rnacentral:rRNA from 1 species